CCUACGGGAUGCUGCAGUGAGGAAUCUUGGUCAAUGGGCUUACGCCUGAACCAGCCAAGUCGCGUGAGGGAAGACUGCCCUAUGGGUUGUACACCUCUUUUGUCAGGGCGCCAUUGGCGCUACGUGUAGCGUUAUCGAGAGUACCUGAAGAAAAAGCAUCAGCUAACUCCGUGCCAGCAGCGGCGGUAAUACGGAGGAUGCGCGCGUGAUCCCGAUUUUUGGGGUUUAAAGGGUGCGUAGGCGGAAUGCCAAGUCAGCGGUAACAGCGCGGGGCACAACCUCGCUACGCCGUGGAAACUGGCGUUCUUGAGUGGGCGAGAAGGAAGCGGAAUGCGUGGUGUAGCGGUGAAAUGCAUAGAUAUCACGCAGAACACCGAUUGCGAAGGCAGCAUACCGGCGCCCAACUGACGCGGAAGCACGAAAGCGUGGGUAGCGAACAGGAUUAGAUACCCUUGUAGUC
rnacentral:rRNA from 1 species